AACGCAUAUUGCACUCUCUGGUAUUCCGGAGAGUAUGCCUGUUUCAGCAUCAUAAAUCUCAAUCGACCAAUCUCCUUUUUGGAGAGAGGUUGGACCUGGGCAUCCUGCACCUAAGAUUUUUCUUGUGUGCUUGCCUGAAAUUCAAUCGUGGAACGCCUAAGAAAAGCCAAAUCAAAAAGGUGUCAUAGUUGGAUUUGUAAAUCCAUCUUUCACCGAAUUUUUUGUGCUGUUAGGUGGUUGGUCUGCGCUCUGCUGUCUCUUCUUCCUGGGGGGGGAGCAGUGGAAAAAGAAUUAUUUUUUUUUUCAAUUUGAUCUGAAAUCAGGUAGGAUUACCCGCUGAACUUAA
rnacentral:misc_RNA from 1 species